UACGGGGGGGGCAAGCGUUGUUCGGAAUUACUGGGCGUAAAGGGCUCGUAGGCGGCCAACUAAGUCAGACGUGAAAUCCCUCGGCUUAACCGGGGAACUGCAUCUGAUACUGGAUGGCUUGAGAUUGGGAGAGGGAUGCGGAAUUCCAGGUGUAGCGGUGAAAUGCGUAGAUGUCUGGAGGAACACCGGUGGCGAAGGCGGCAUCCUGGACCAACACUGACGCUGAGGAGCGAAAGCCAGGGGAGCAAACGGG
rnacentral:rRNA from 1 species